rnacentral:lncRNA from 1 species
AAGACACAUUCGCAAACUCAUUUUCCUCAAGUCAAAGAAUCGUUUCCAUGCUUCAUUAUCUCACGAGGUUUGAAUAUACGUUUACAUAUAAUCACACACAUCAUAGCCCAUAUAUUUCAAACAAUGAUAAAUUGGCAUCUUGAUAUUAUGAAACAUAUAGGUGGACUCAAUCACCACAUAUUAGAUAAAUGUAUCUCCAUCACACCAAUGACUUAAAGAGUCUAACAUGCCCCAACAAGUGUAACAUUAAGCUAAACACUCUCCAACACAACAAACAUGUUCCGUUGAAUGGAACAUAGCUCAACAUUCCCUUAUAUCUCUAUCUUGUCCCAAGACCUUAAUUGCCCAUCACAAAACAAAAAGGUUAGUACUCACAAUCCUAUGACAUGCCAACUAUUUUCAAUGAUUUCAAGAGAUAAAAAAGCCAAAUAUCUAUAUUUACACAUAUUUAUUUAUUGUUUUAAUACACAUAAAAUCUGUUCAUAGUCAUCAGUUUCACAUUACAACCUCAUACACAAUACAUGUUUAUCGGAUACAUAUUUAAUUGCACUUACAAGUGUCACAAUAGUGCUCAUUGAGCUAUCAUAUAUCAGUUCUCAUAGGUGUACGUUAAAAAUCAAUAGCUCACAUAUCACAUUAAUAUACUUUCACAUAUUACUUGCUGCAAUAUAUCAUAUAUCACAACUCAUCCUACUUAGGCAUGAUUUUACAAACAAGGCAAAAAGUAUAGGAAAGGCUUACCUUCGGAACUUAAGAUAGGGAUUUAGGCUAAUCCUAAACUCUCGGUUAACACUAUGAAUUGUGCAUAUCAGCAGCGACUUCAAAACACUCACCGAUCUUGCUUUUGCUUGCUAGUCGAAAGCUUAAAUAAGUUUCGCCUUGCCUUUCGACUUGCUAGUAGAUGGCUCCAAUAGAUCCAAAACUUCUCAUACAUAAUAUACACAAUACAUAUAUGUCAUUAAUAGCCACAAACACCACAAAAAUCAAACAAAGAUGCAAAUCUAAUCUAUCUCCUUUUAAACCGAAACUUAAAUUUCUAGAUUCAAUCUCAUUUUCGUUGUUUGAAAUUGAUUCAAAAUAUCUAAUUAAUCACUUUACAAUAGAUCUAAACCAUUAAAACACCUAGAAAUUUAGAUUUAAAGUUUUUGACAAAUUUGACGUUCAUGAACAUCUUGAAUGAUAAGUCGUUAAAUCGUUCAAAUCCCUUAACUAUUGGUUAAAGUAAGAUUUUAAACCUUUUAAUCUAAUCAAAAUAAGUUGAAAAUCACUUAGAAACCAAAGUUUAGUUUGGAAAUCCAAAAUUUUCCAUUAUUGAUCUCAAUUUUUGACAUAAUCCAUUAAAUUCAUAAAAACUCAUUCUAAAGAAUCAAACCUUGAUUUAUAAAAACAAGAUGCAUGAAAACAUAGUCAAGAAACAAAAUAUUACCUUGCUUGGUGAAGAAAAACGAACCAAAGAUUGAAUUUCGUGAAAAUCCAAUAGAAAAAGAAUGAAAAAAUCGGUGACAUUUUUUAUGGUUUUCUUAAAAAUUGAGAGAGAUUUUGGUGUUCGAGAAAAAGGAAAAUCAAAUUGAAGAGUUUGAUUUGAAAGUAAACAGGGAGUUUUGGUGUUUGCAGAAUUUUCAAAUAACAAGCAAAGAAGAAGGAAGAAUAGCGGUUCACGCUUAAAAGUUCUGCCAAAUCCCAACUCUUUGAAUUUUAGGCCAAAUUGCUUGUGGGAAACUCCCAACGUUGCCUCAUUUUCAAUUUAGUCCUCUUUUCUAGUUAAAAGCCUUUUUCUCGUUUCUUUUUAAAAUUUUAUUUUAUUUUUG